GUGGGGAAUAUUGGGCAAUGGGCGAAAGCCUGACCCAGCAACGCCGCGUGAAGGAAGAAGGUCUUCGGAUUGUAAACUUUUGUCUUAUGGGACGAUAGUGACGGUACCAUAGGAGGAAGCCACGACUAACUACGUGCUAGCAGUCGCGGUAAUACGUAGGUGGCAAGCGUUAUCCGGAAUUAUUGGGUGUAAAGGGUGCGUAGGCGGGAUGUAAAGUCAGAUGUGAAAUGCCGCAGCUUAACUGCGGAGCUGCAUUUGAAACUUAUGUUCUUGAGUGAAGUAGAGGUAAGCGGAAUUCCUAGUGUAGCGGUGAAAUGCGUAGAUAUUAGGAGGAACACCGGUGGCGAAGGCGGCUUACUGGGCUUAAACUGACGCUGAGGCACGAAAGUGUGGGGAGCAAACAGG
rnacentral:rRNA from 1 species